GUAGCGGUGACGUCAGAUAAACUAGGAGCAGCGGUAACAUCCACGGAUAGAAGAGGAAACAGUGAACUCACAUGUGUGCGUCUUCUUCACCGCCGCUGACGAACCUGCAACACACAAGACAACAGAUUCAGUCACAGUCUCCAGCUGAAGAAGUGAACAUUUAAGAGUCAGAGAUCAGACGACCAGACGGAGGUGGAACGAGGAACAACACCAACACGUCUGAGUUGAUAUUCCAGUUGUGAAGAGCUGUGACAAUCUGAGAUCGGAGUCAUGCGUCCUGUUGUGGUAACUGUCGUCCUGCUGGUGGUCCUGAUGUUCAUGACGGACUCUGCAGUCGCAGGAGAAAAAGAGAAGAAAAAUUGCCAGAACUAUUUCCCACUUGUACCAUGUGGUUCUGGAUGGUACCGGAUGGACGGAAGUCGCUGUAUGAAGAGAGCUCCGACCGCAGAAACGUUUGACGAUGCACAGAUGUUCUGCAAAAACAAAAGUGGUGAUUUGGUGUCAUUCAGGGGAAGAGACGACCUUAUCCAAAUGCUGUGUCUGUUGGUCAUGGAAAACAAUGACAAGGUUCCUCACUGGCUCGGAGCCAGAAAACAAGGGGGUGAAUUUCAGUGGGCUGAUGGACGUGGACCAUUGAUCUUCGGAGGCCAACACAACCUCCUGAAUGACCAGGCUGAGGACUGUGCAGCAAUCAACAGUAAGUUAAAAAAAUAAUGGUAGAAAAAAGAUUUUAAUGUCAAACACAAGAUGAAAACAAUUGAUAUAAUCACAUUGAUUUUUAGGAAAUGAUAUAAAGUAGAUCUUUAAAAAACAUCUGGGCCAGUUAGGAAGCUGAGUCACACUGGACUGACCUUUUAGAAAUAUAUAUAUAUAACAGGUAUAAACACAUCUCCUGUCUCUGGAGUUUAGGAGCAUCCAUAAGUAUUCAAGUAUUUUUUGUAUACAAAUGUUAGAAAUGAAUCAUGGAUAUUUAACCUCAUAAUGACCCUGAAUCUUAAUCUGGUUUAUCCUUUUGCUUUUUCAGUCGGUGGUCCCUGGAAAGGUACAUCAUGUUCAGCAACAAGGAACUUUGUGUGCCAAAAGACUAUGUGAUCGUCAUCUCCAGAUGAUGAACCAGCCUGCUUCACUGUAACCUCUGUGAAUGCAACCUUUAAUAUUGUUUGUAAUAAAUGUUCAGCAUCAGAAAACAUUUGAUUUGGUUUUUUUAUUUGUUUGUGUCCAGCAGAAUGACAGUUGUAGCCAUUGUACACGUACUGCAGACUGAGCCUGACAUACAGUAUAAUUACCUGAUUAGUUUCAUCUGGUUUCAUAGAUACAUACAGCUGGGUGUCGUCUGCAUAGCAAAGUAAAUCCAUGUGGUGCUUUCAGCUUUGGUUAGUUUUAUAAUGUCUCUAAUAACAGCAGGACAGAGACGACAGAACUGUGUUUAGUGUAGAUAUUGAUAAAGCAGAGGAACCAAGUCCUGCUGAAUUUAGGUAAAUUGUCAUUGUCUGUACUUUCUAUCCUGUUGUAAGAAACAGAGAUUUAACCGUGGUCCAUAAACUCUACACAUUCACCUAGCUG
rnacentral:lncRNA from 1 species